GAGUCCAAUAUCUAUGAAUAGUUGUAACUUUAUAAAGGCAUGUUGACUUGACGUGUCCUCACAUUUACAAGCAACAUACGAGGCAGCAAGCAGCGAAGUGAGGAUCCUUAGAAAUCACAUUUAAAAACAGGUUCCCACAGGGCCUCAUUAGCAUAUGACAGGGUAGGACCAAACUCUUUCUGCACAUGACCACAGGGCCUCAUUAGCAUAUGACAGGGUAGGACCAAACUCUUUCUGCACAUGACCACAGGGCCUCAUUAGCAUAUGACAGGGUAGGACCAAACUCUUUCUGCACAUGACCCCAAAUGGACACUAGAAAAUGCAGUGUACCUCACUUGAAAACAAUGAUAUUCCCUAGGUAACACUGCAGUCAUAUUCCCUAGGUAACACUGCAUUCAUAUUCCCUAGGUAACACUGCAUUCAUAUUCCCUAGGUAACACUGCAGUCAUAUUCCCUAGGCAACACUGCAUUCAUAUUCCCUAGGUAACACUGCAUUCAUAUUCCCUAGGCAACACUGCAUUCAUAUUCCCUAGGUAACACUGCAUUCAUAUUCCCUAGGUAACACUGCAGUCAUAUUCCCUAGGCAACACUGCAUUCAUAUUCCCUAGGUAACACUGCAGUCAUAUUCCCUAGGUAACACUGCAUUCAUAUUCCCUAGGUAACACUGCAUUCAUAUUCCCUAGGUAACACUGCAUUCAUAUUCCCUAGGUAACACUGCAGUCAUAUUCCCUAGGUAACACUGCAUUCAUAUUCCCUAGGUAACACUGCAGUCAUAUUCCCUAGGUAACACUGCAGUCAUAUUCCCUAGGUAACACUGCAUUCAUAUUCCCUAGGUAACACUGCAUUCAUAUUCCCUAGGUAACACUGCAGUCAUAUUCCCUAGGCAACACUGCAUUCAUAUUCCCUAGGUAACACUGCAGUCAUAUUCCCUAGGUAACACUGCAGUCAUAUUCCCUAGGUAACACUGCAUUCAUAUUCCCUAGGUAACACUGCAUUCAUAUUCCCUAGGUAACACUGCAUUCAUAUUCCCUAGGUAACACUGCAGUCAUAUUCCCUAGGUAACACUGCAGUCAUAUUCCCUAGGUAACACUGCAUUCAUAUUCCCUAGGUAACACUGCAUUCAUAUUCCCUAGGUAACACUGCAUUCAUAUUCCCUAGGUAACACUGCAGUCAUAUUCC